AUGGUUAAGUCCUCGAUCUAUUAGUAUUCGUCAGCUCCACAUGUCACCAUGCUUCCACCUCGAACCUAUCAACCUGAUCAUCUUUCAGGGAUCUUACUAGCUUACGCUAUGGGAAAUCUCAUCUUGAGGGGGGCUUCAUGCUUAGAUGCUUUCAGCACUUAUCCCUUCCGCACAUAGCUACCCAGCUAUGCCCUUGGCAGAACAACUGGUACACCAGCGGUGCGUCCAUCCCGGUCCUCUCGUACUAAGGACAGCUCCUCUCAAAUUUCCUACGCCCACGACGGAUAGGGACCGAACUGUCUCACGACGUUCUGAACCCAGCUCGCGUACCGCUUUAAUGGGCGAACAGCCCAACCCUUGGGACCGACUACAGCCCCAGGAUGCGAUGAGCCGACAUCGAGGUGCCAAACCUCCCCGUCGAUGUGGACUCUUGGGGGAGAUAAGCCUGUUAUCCCCGGGGUAGCUUUUAUCCGUUGAGCGAUGGCCCUUCCAUGCGGAACCACCGGAUCACUAAGCCCGACUUUCGUCCCUGCUCGACUUGUAGGUCUCGCAGUCAAGCUCCCUUAUGCCUUUGCACUCUACGAAUGAUUUCCAACCAUUCUGAGGGAACCUUUGGGCGCCUCCGUUACACUUUAGGAGGCGACCGCCCCAGUCAAACUGCCCACCUGACACUGUCUCCCGGGUCGAUAAGACCCGUAGGUUAGAAUUUCAAUACAGUCAGGGCGGUAUCCCACCAGCGCCUCCACCGAAGCUAGCGCUCCGGUUUCAAUGGCUCCCGCCUAUCCUGUACAAACUGUACCAAAAUUCAAUAUCAGGCUACAGUAAAGCUCCACGGGGUCUUUCCGUCCUGUCGCGGGUAACCUGCAUCUUCACAGGUACUAUAAUUUCACCGAGUCUCUGGUUGAGACAGUGCCCAAAUCGUUACACCUUUCGUGCGGGUCGGAACUUACCCGACAAGGAAUUUCGCUACCUUAGGACCGUUAUAGUUACGGCCGCCGUUUACUGGGGCUUCAGUUCAGAGCUUCGCUUACGCUAACCCCUCUCCUUAACCUUCCAGCACCGGGCAGGUGUCACCCCCUAUACUUCGCCUUACGGCUUCGCAGAGAGCUGUGUUUUUGCUAAACAGUCGCUUGGGCCUAUUCACUGCGGCUUUCCGUUAAGAAAGCACCCCUUCUCCCGAAGUUACGGGGUCAUUUUGCCGAGUUCCUUAACCAGAGUUCUCUCGCACACCUUAGGAUUCUCUCCUCGCCUACCUGUGUCGGUUUGCGGUACAGGCACCUUUUAUCUCGCUAGAAGCUUUUCUUGGCAGCGGGGAAUCAAAGACUUCGCUCCAUAAGGAGCUUCCCCAUCACAGCUCAGCCUUCACGAUAAGCGGAUUUGCCUACUUAUCAGCCUAACUGCUUGGACGUGCACAACCAAUCGCACGCUUCUUCUAUCCUUCUGCGUCCCUCCAUUGCUCAAACGAUAAAGAGGUGGUACAGGAAUAUCAACCUGUUGUCCAUCGCCUACGCCUGUCGGCCUCGGCUUAGGUCCUGACUAACCCUGAGCGGACGAGCCUUCCUCAGGAAACCUUAGGCAUUCGGUGGACGGGAUUCUCACCCGUCUUUCGCUACUCAUACCGGCAUUCUCACUUCUAAGCACUCCACCAGUCCUUACGGUCUGACUUCACUGUCCUUAGAACGCUCCCCUACCACUGAUACCAUUCGGUAUCAAUCCGCAGCUUCGGUGGUGUAUUUAGCCCCGGUACAUUUUCGGCGCAGAGUCACUCGACUAGUGAGCUAUUACGCACUCUUUAAAUGGUGGCUGCUUCUAAGCCAACAUCCUAGUUGUCUAAGCAACUCCACAUCCUUUUCCACUUAAUACACACUUUGGGACCUUAGCUGGCGGUCUGGGCUGUUUCCCUUUUGACUACGGAUCUUAUCACUCGCAGUCUGACUCCUAAGGAUAAGUCAUUGGCAUUCGGAGUUUGACUGAAUUCGGUAAUCCGAUGAGGACCCCUAGUCCAAUCAGUGCUCUACCUCCAAGACUCUUACACUUAAGGCUAGCCCUAAAGCUAUUUCGGGGAGAACCAGCUAUCUCCAGGUUCGAUUGGAAUUUCUCCGCUACCCACACCUCAUCCCCGCACUUUUCAACGUGCGUGGGUUCGGGCCUCCAUUCAGUGUUACCUGAACUUCACCCUGGACAUGGGUAGAUCACCUGGUUUCGGGUCUACGACCACGUACUAAACGCCCUAUUCAGACUCGCUUUCGCUGCGGCUCCGCCUCUUCAGCUUAACCUCGCACGGGAUCGUAACUCGCCGGUUCAUUCUACAAAAGGCACGCCAUCACCCGUUAACGGGCUCUGACUAUUUGUAGGCACACGGUUUCAGGAUCUCUUUCACUCCCCUUCCGGGGUGCUUUUCACCUUUCCCUCACGGUACUGGUUCACUAUCGAUCACUAGGGAGUAUUUAGCCUUGGGAGAUGGUCCUCCCAGAUUCCGACGGAAUUUCACGUGUUCCGCCGUACUCAGGAUACAUUCAAGAGAGAACGAAGUUUCGACUACGGGGUUGUUACCCUCUACGACGGACCUUUCCAGGUCGCUUCGUCUACCUCGUUCCUUUGUAACUCCGUAUAGAAUGUCCUACAACCCCAAGAGGCAAGCCUCUUGGUUUGGGCUAUGUUCCGUUUCGCUCGCCGCUACUCAGGAAAUCGCAUUUGCUUUCUCUUCCUCCAGGUACUUAGAUGUUUCAGUUCCCUGGGUCUGUCUUCCUUACCCUAUGUAUUCAGAUAAGGAUACCAUACCAUUACGUAUGGUGGGUUUCCCCAUUCGGAAAUCUUCGGAUCAAAGCUUACUUACAGCUCCCCGAAGCAUAUCGGCGUUAGUCCCGUCCUUCAUCGACUCCUAGUGUCAAGGCAUCCACCGUGCGCCCUUUCUAACUUAA
rnacentral:rRNA from 1 species